GGGCUAAUUCGAGGAUUUACGGUAGUUACUUUGGUCAUGCUAAUUUUACUAAGUUUGAUUGGCAUAUGAUAAGAGAGUCGAGAUAUAACCCUCUCGUUGAAUAAACUAAAAGUGAUACUGGAUCGCCAAGUGCUGUUGUUGAACUAUAUUAAACUCUUUGUUUUUAUCAUCUAUAAGUAAUUUUAGCCUUGGAGUCUUUUGAUGUAAUACGUCCUUUUCCGUCACACAAAGUGGCUCUUUUUAUUUGGAAGUCGAUGUACUUUUUGUAUAAAUUAUUUCUAUAGCUUGAUAUAUCCAAAAUAGUCAAAAUAUACAUUUUGGAAUCAAUGCAAAAUACGGGAUGACAUGUAAAAAGAUCAGACGUUCUACUGCAAAUGAAUGCCUCUUUCAAUCAGCCAUCGACAUAUGAAAAUUUGGAAACCCGUGCAAUUUGAACAUUUCUCAUCCGUUCAGGAAAGAGGAAACACCAUUCUAACUCCUUUUUCGUCAUUCAGUUUCUCUGACCUCAGAAGUGCUCAAAGAAGGAGAUCCUUUUAUUUUUCAAAAGCGUCAAUACGUAGGGAAUACGGAUAAGUGAAAGCAUAUAAGCCUAUCAAGGCGCUGAUUGGAAGUUUCAGAUUUGUGUUGAUAAUCUAAUGUACCUCAAAAGUGCGUUUUAAUUCAGCAUUGAUUGCAUAUAAGCAAUACAAGACAUCAUUCCAGAGAUUACUGGUGCUCCAAUGCUCCUAAAUCGUUUGAUAACAACCAACAUUCACCAUUUGUUGACAGCCAAUUCACAUGAACAGGUUCAAAAGCUUGUCGUACUAUAACAGAAGUUACAGCAGCUGAUUAUUUGAAGCCAUGAAGAUUUCGCUUCUAUACUGAGGUCUUUUUGAACGUUUUUGACGUGCAGACAUUAAAACGGGAGAAUGUAUUCAGCUCGUCCCUCAGCUCCUCCGUACCCCAGCGAUGCACUGUUUGUGAGGCCUCGGAUGGAAGCCUGGGUUGACACAGUCGCUAUAAAUGAGCCACCACCACCCUACGAGUCGCCUGAACCAUCUGUUGCGCUUAACAUUCCACGCCGACCUCAACCCAACAGAAGUCCCAACAGAAGCCCCAACAGAAGUGAAUUUAGCCAUACUAUACCAUUACGUCAUUCGCAUUUUCGCGCUACUUUUUCCGAACAGGCAUCAGCCACAGUUAUAAGAGAUAGACAAAGAGCUAAGCUGCAGAUAGUCAAAUUUGAAAAGCAAUAUCUGUAUUCGAAAUUUGCAGUCCUCAAAGGCUUGGAACUUGUAGCAUGCACAGCAGCAUUCUCCACAUGUUUAGCGUUUCGAGAAAAGUUUGGCAUAGGCAUUCUCACAGGAGAUCGAUCCGGAUUUUUUAUGCUCUUGCACCUUAUCAGCUGGGUCCUUGUUCUCCUUCUCUUUUGGACAAGUUUGGUUGGGUAUAUGAAAGAAAUCUCAACGCCAUCGCAAUUCAUUAAGAUGAUCAUAACACACGUCAGCCUCGGUUUCUUGAUAUUGAUCAGUUCAGCGUUGUUAACCGACGCUCCAUUCACAGGAUUGUGUGAAGCAACAACAACAGUCUGUGUGAUAUUCAAGACUUCUGUUGCAUUUGGUUACCUUGCCGUGUUACUGUUUUGGUUGGACGCCGGAUUGCACUAUGUUACAUUCAAAAAUUCUAUUUUUCUGAUCUAAAAGUUCAUUAAUUUCUUUUCAAAUCUUUAUUGCGGCAAUCUUACGCAAUGAAAUUCCCUAAAACUUUGUUCCCUCCUCAGUGGUUUAAACAUUCGUUGGUCACCAGAAGAACUAGAAUGAAUCCGGAAGGCUGGGGGAAGGGGUAAGGGCUCUAAGCCUCUUUGUUUGAAUUUUAUCUGGUUAAAGUGUCCCUUGUCGACGUUGUAAUAAUGUCUUUCAUGGUAUCGCUAUCAUUAACACCGUAGAUUGUCUUUGUAUUCAUAGCCUGUCUCUGUCAGAGUCCUCGUCUUUGUUCGUUACUUCUUGUUUGGCUGUUCGGUGUGUUUGCUAAUGAACAUAGCUUUUCAAGAUGCGGCGUUUAAAAGAGGGCGGUGUUUAUCAGAGGGCGGCGUUUUUUUACAAAGGGUUGGCUGAAGGUGCAGCGUUCAAUAGAAGGCGGCGUUUAUAAGAGGGUGGCGUUCAUUAGAGGAAAUACGGUACACAUAUUAUGAAGUUCAGUCAGUAAAACACAUCAAAACUAAACGGUCACCUAACAUCGUCUAUUUCAGACUCAAUAUUUUGUGUACGUUAAAUAAGAUUUAAUAAAAUGCUUCAUGUGAACAGUUUUUGGGAGGUACAGAACUUGAUAAAGCAAAAAUGCUUCAUGUUUAAGAGGCCAUCACAUUAAAACCCAGUUCAUAUUAGCCCUGCAUUCAGACGCGGGACAUGUUCGUCCUGUAAGGCCAGCCAUUUAUUGUUGUUAUUUUAUAUUUGCAGAAUGUGUCCACCUUCUAAUAUAGUUCUGCAAAAUAUACCGCGGAAAGUAACAUUUUGUGUUUUUAUGUGUUAGUUGCACUGGUGUAUCAGUACUUAAGUCCGUUAUAUCUUGAACUUAAAUAGUUCUAAAUGGCAAUGUUUUCAUAACUUGUUGAAAGAAGAAAGACUCGCUCCGUGCUCUGUGAUUCCAACGGGCUAGUGAUCAUUUGAGAAUUUUAUCGUGAACAUGAUUAAAGCUUUAGAAAUCCCGAGAGAUUUAAAGAUUCCGUCGUUUUACUUUAAACAAAACCUACUUGGUAGGACGCAGAAGCCUCGCAAAGAGCUAGGCCAUUAUGAUCGAAAGUAAGUGGCUCGCUGUUUCAAUAUCAGGAUAUUGUAAGUUCCUUUAUUUAAUUCGUUUUCCUUUCGUUGUUUGAGAGUUCUUCUUACACCAGAUUUGAAGUUGUAAGAAACACGCGUUUGCUUUUUUGGCAACAUGAUGCAAAAUUCAAUAGUGCAAGUCUAUGCCAAUCAAACUACCUGAACCAUUUGCUAAAACUCUCUUUAUUUCCCAAAAGUUGUUUGCAAUUUCGAAAUAUUUAUACAGCUUUCGAAAUCCUUAUAGAGGUUUCGAGUUCCUUCUAGAGGUUUCGAAUUCCUUAAAAAUAUGCAGACUUGAACUUUGUUUCAAUAAACCCUAUAAAUCACAUACUACAGCUUUGCAUGGUAUUGACAGAUUGCUUAACUAAAAGUUUGGGCUGUCUGCUUGAGAGCAUGAACCCUUUAUUUGCGUUAGAACUAAAAUCGUUAGCCGUCAUCGAGUCCAAUACCCUUUAUGGGCAAAUAGUUGGCAUUAGAUGAGAAAGCUGUUGUAUAACUUUUCUAAUUGAAUAUUUUUGCCAGUUUUAACAUCGCAUGUCUAUUUAUUACAAAUGAUUGAUGACUCUUUUCCUCGUCGGACUUAACAAAAGUUUCUAUAAUUGGAAGUAUAUUCUAGUGUCUCUAAUAGAAGGGGGGAGGUAAUAGAAGGGGGUGUUCAUGUCAACCAGUUUUCAAAAGAAGGGGGUGCUAAUAGAAGGGGCUUUUAAUGUCGGCCAGUUUUCAAUAGAAGGGAGUUGCUAAUAGAAGGGAGUGUUCAGGUUGGCCAAUUUUCAAUAAAUGUCAGUAAAUUUCAAUAGCAAAGGGGAGCUAAUAGAAGGAGUGGAUGUUGGUAAAUCUUUUAAUUAAAAGGCUGUGUCUUAGAAAGAUUCCCCUCAAUUUAGGCGUUUUGUUCUCACAGACAGGAGCCUACUCUUUUUUAUAAAUCACAUCGCUUUUUCAUUCAAUUUUCUGCGUGUUCUGGUCCUGACAGAUUUGUAAAAUUUAAUAGAAGGGGGGUGCUAAUAAGCGACGGGGAGAGGAAAAAUUCUUCUGAAAUUAAUACACGGAGGGCGUCUAUUAGAGAGACUAUAGUAGCAUGGGAUACUUCGCUCUCGCUGUUACAUAACAAACAACAACAACGACAACCUACCAUGAAAAUUCAAAACAGAGAUGGAGCACAGUGAGGAAAGUCGCAGGACGAACAACAACGUCUCAACAUUGCAAAUGUUUUCUGUGCAGACAGUCUUGCCAGAAUACUCAAGCCAAGAUCGGAAUAUCAACCUUGAACUACCUGAUUACUGUGAUGAUGAGCCACCACCGCCAUAUAGCGAGAGAAUCAAAGUUCAAACAGAACUGCCGGUUACUCGCCCUCCAAGAUAUAAUCUGCCGAGUAGAUCACCUCUAGAAACUUCAUUGCAUCCCGCUAACGAUAAACCAUUUGUGUUUAACAAGGAUUUCGCGACUUCAAAAUUUGCUGUUUUAAAGUUGGCAGAGUUUAUUAUUUGUCUUAUUGGCCUGAUAUCGACAGCAUAUUUACAGAGACUAGAGGCUGGAAAGCAAAAGAAAGAUGUUGUAGGCUUCUUUAUGGUUUUUAUGGUUGCCAGUUUUGUGUUCACAGUCAUUGUAUUUUGGUUCCAUUUCAUCAGCAUUCUUAAAUACACUGGUCCACGUGCUAUGAACAAAUAUGUUGCAUUCACCUGCUUCAUUCUUGGAAUUUCACUUCUUGCAACAUCAGCCCUGCUUGCUGACAUAAACAGAAAGAAAAUAUGCACAUUUAUAAGAUUUAGCAAAAAAGAAUGUCAUUUGCACAGGUUUUCAAUGAUGUGUGGAUUCUUGGCAAUGAUUUUAUUCUUUGUUGAUUCUGUGGUAUACAUGAUCACAAGCAAAGGAGGAUGAAGAGGGUUUGGGAAUCUUUGAAUGAUUCAUGUAUCAGGUUCUAAAACAGCCAAUAUCUGAUGUG